rnacentral:rRNA from 1 species
UGGGGAAUCUUGCACAAUGGGGGAAACCCUGAUGCAGCGACGCCGCGUGAACGAUGAAGCCCUUCGGGGUGUAAAGUUCUUUCGACGGGGACGAUAAUGACGGUACCCGGAGAAGAAGCUGCGGCUAACUACGUGCCAGCAGCCGCGGUAAUACGUAGGCAGCAAGCGUUGUUCGGAAUUACUGGGCGUAAAGAGUGCGUAGGCGGUUAACUAAGUUUGGUGUGAAAUCUCCCGGCUUAACUGGGAGGGUGCGCCGAAAACUGGCUAGCUAGAGUGUGGGAGAGGAUAGUGGAAUUCCUGGUGUAGCGGUGAAAUGCGUAGAUAUCAGGAGGAACACCUGCGGUGUAGACGGCUAUCUGGACCAUGACUGACGCUGAGGCACGAAAGCGUGGGUAGCAAACA